GCCCGGCUAGCUCAGUUGGUAGAGCAUGAGACUCUUAAUCUCAGGGUCAUGGGUUCGGGCCCCUUGUUGGGCG